rnacentral:rRNA from 1 species
AUGAAGAACACCUGGGACUGGAACCUGGAGGAGGACAUCAUACGCAAAUGCGCUGGCCUUCAUGAUUCCAGGACCUGGAAUCAUACCAGCCGAUGGUACCAUAUAACUGGAAUUAACCAAUGCAAGUCGAAGAAGGAUUGGCCGGUGCUGCCGGCUGGCGUCAAGUUCGAUCCCACGGAUCAGGAGCUGAUCGAGCACCUUGAGGCCAAAGUGAGUGCUGACAGCGCGAGAUCUCACCCUCUCAUCGAUUUGUUCAUACCAACCAUCGACAGCGAGCACGACAUAUGCUACACCCAUCCUGAGAAACUUCCAGGUAUCACACUGAGUGGCCUAAGCAAGCAUUUCUUCCAGCACAAUUCCAGGGCAUUCAAAAGGGGCACGUGGACGCGUCGCAAGAUACAAUCGGAGUGCGGCAUGCAUGCGAUGUCGCACAACACCGGCAAUACCUUGCCGGUGAUGGUCAACGGCUGGCAGACGGGUAGCAAAAAGGUUCUGGUGCUACACACCAACAAGAACUUCGACCAGCAGAGACAAACUGGGUGA